rnacentral:pre_miRNA from 1 species
UUGAAUGUGAAUUGAUUUAUGUUUGGUUACAGUUUAUUAGAAGUGAUUCUUGUGGGUUGAUGUUGUUCGGAUAG